AUACGGAGGAUCCGAGCGUUAUCCGGAUUUAUUGGGUUUAAAGGGUGCGCAGGCGGCCAUUUAAGUCAGCGGUUAAAUCGUGGGGCUCACCCCCAUUCUGCCGUUGAUACUGGGUGGCUUGAUUGCGGUCGAGGUUGGCGGAAUUCGUUGUGUAGCGGGGAAAUGCAUAGAUAUGACGAAGAACACCGAUUGCGUAGGCAGCUGACCAGACCGCAAAUGACGCUCAUGCACGAAAGUGCGGGGAUCGAACAGGAUUAGAUACCCUGGUAGUCCGCACAGUAAACGAUGAAUACUUGUUUUCGGCGAUAUAAUGUCGGAGGCAAAGCGAAAGCGAUAAGUAUUCCACCUGGGGAGUACGCCGGCAACGGUGAAACUCAAAGGAAUUGACGGGG
rnacentral:rRNA from 1 species